UAAGUUAGAAAGGGCGCACGGUGAAUGCCUUGGCACUAGGAGCCGAUGAAGGACGGGACUAACACCGAUAUGCUUCGGGGAGCUGUAAGUGAGCUUUGAUCCGGAGAUUUCCGAAUGGGGAAACCCACUGUUCGUAAUGGAACAGUAUCUUUAUCUGAAUACAUAGGAUAUUGAAGGCAGACCCGGGGAACUGAAACAUCUAAGUACCCGGAGGAAGAGAAAGCAAAUGCGAUUUCCUGAGUAGCGGCGAGCGAAACGGAAUUAGCCCAAACCAAGAGGCUUGCCUCUUGGGGUUGUAGGACACUCUAUACGGAGUUACAAAGGAACGAAGUAAAUGAAGCGACCUGGAAAGGUCCGUCGAAGAAGGUAACAACCCUGUAGUUGAAACUUCGUUCCCUCUUGAGUGGAUCCUGAGUACGGCGGAACACGUGAAAUUCCGUCGGAAGCUGGGAGGACCAUCUCCCAAGGCUAAAUACUACCUAGUGACCGAUAGUGAACCAGUACCGUGAGGGAAAGGUGAAAAGCACCCCGGAAGGGGAGUGAAAGAGAUCCUGAAACCGUGUGCCUACAAGUAGUCAGAGCCCGUUAACGGGUGAUGGCGUGCCUUUUGUAGAAUGAACCGGCGAGUUACGAUCCCAUGCAAGGUUAAGCUGAUAAGGCGGAGCCGUAGCGAAAGCGAGUCUGAAUAGGGCGUUUAGUAUGUGGUUGUAGACCCGAAACCAGGUGAUCUACCCAUGUCCAGGGUGAAGUUCAGGUAACACUGAAUGGAGGCCCGAACCCACGCACGUUGAAAAGUGCGGGGAUGAGGUGUGGGUAGCGGAGAAAUUCCAAUCGAACCUGGAGAUAGCUGGUUCUCUCCGAAAUAGCUUUAGGGCUAGCCUCAUGUUGUGAGAGUCUUGGAGGUAGAGCACUGAUUGGACUAGGGGCCCCCAACGGGUUACCGAAUUCAGUCAAACUCCGAAUGCCAAAGACUUAUCCAUGGGAGUCAGACUGCGAGUGAUAAGAUCCGUAGUCAAAAGGGAAACAGCCCAGACCACCAGCUAAGGUCCCCAAGUAUACGUUAAGUGGAAAAGGAUGUGGAGUUGCUUAGACAACCAGGAUGUUGGCUUAGAAGCAGCCACCAUUUAAAGAGUGCGUAAUAGCUCACUGGUCGAGUGACUCUGCGCCGAAAAUGUACCGGGGCUAAACGUAUCACCGAAGCUGUGGAUUGACAUCUUUGAUGUCAGUGGUAGGAGAGCGUUCUAAGUGCAGCGAAGUCAGACCGUAAGGACUGGUGGAGCGCUUAGAAGUGAGAAUGCCGGUAUGAGUAGCGAAAGACAAGUGAGAAUCUUGUCCACCGAAUGCCUAAGGUUUCCUGAGGAAGGCUCGUCCGCUCAGGGUUAGUCGGGACCUAAGCCGAGGCUGAAAAGCGUAGGCGAUGGCCAACAGGUUGAUAUUCCUGUACCACCUCCCCGCCGUUUGAGUAAUGGGGGGACGCAGUAGGAUAGGGUAAGCGCGCUGCUGGAUAUGCGCGUUCAAGCAGUUAGGCUGAUGAGUAGGCAAAUCCGCUCAUCAUAAAGGCUGAGCUGUGAUGACGAGGGAAUUAUAGUACCGAAGUUCCUGAUUCCACACUGCCAAGAAAAGCCUCUAGCGAGGCGGGAGGUGCCCGUACCGCAAACCGACACAGGUAGGCGAGGAGAGAAUCCUAAGGUGAUCGAGAGAACUCUCGUUAAGGAACUCGGCAAAAUGACCCCGUAACUUCGGGAGAAGGGGUGCUCUGGUAGGGUGUAUAGCCCGAGAGAGCCGCAGUGAAUAGGCCCAGGCGACUGUUUAGCAAAAACACAGGUCUCUGCGAAGCCGCAAGGCGAAGUAUAGGGGCUGACGCCUGCCCGGUGCUGGAAGGUUAAGAGGAGGGGUUAUCCUUUGGGAGAAGCUCUGAAUCGAAGCCCCAGUAAACGGCGGCCGUAACUAUAACGGUCCUAAGGUAGCGAAAUUCCUUGUCGGGUAAGUUCCGACCCGCACGAAAGGCGUAACGAUCUGGGCACUGUCUCAACGAGAGACUCGGUGAAAUUAUAGUACCUGUGAAGAUGCAGGUUACCCGCGACAGGACGGAAAGACCCCGUGGAGCUUUACUGUAGCCUGAUAUUGAAUUUUGGUACAGCUUGUACAGGAUAGGUAGGAGCCUGAGAAGCCGGAGCGCUAGCUUCGGUGGAGGCGUCGGUGGGAUACUACCCUGGCUGUAUUGAAAUUCUAACCCGCGGCCCUGAUCGGGCCGGGAGACAGUGUCAGGUGGGCAGUUUGACUGGGGCGGUCGCCUCCUAAAAUGUAACGGAGGCGCCCAAAGGUUCCCUCAGAAUGGUUGGAAAUCAUUCGUAGAGUGUAAAGGCACAAGGGAGCUUGACUGCGAGACCUACAAGUCGAGCAGGGACGAAAGUCGGGCUUAGUGAUCCGGUGGUUCCGCAUGGAAGGGCCAUCGCUCAACGGAUAAAAGCUACCCCGGGGAUAACAGGCUUAUCUCCCCCAAGAGUCCACAUCGACGGGGAGGUUUGGCACCUCGAUGUCGGCUCAUCGCAUCCUGGGGCUGUAGUCGGUCCCAAGGGUUGGGCUGUUCGCCCAUUAAAGCGGUACGCGAGCUGGGUUCAGAACGUCGUGAGACAGUUCGGUCCCUAUCCGUCGUGGGCGUAGGAAAUUUGAGAGGAGCUGUCCUUAGUACGAGAGGACCGGGAUGGACACACCGCUGGUGUACCAGUUGUCUUGCCAAAGGCAUCGCUGGGUAGCUAUGUGUGGACGGGAUAAGUGCUGAAAGCAUCUAAGCAUGAAGCCCCCCUCAAGAUGAGAUUUCCCAUAGCGCAAGCUAGUAAGAUCCCUGAAAGAUGAUCAGGUUGAUAGGUCAGAGGUGGAAGCGUGGCGACAUGUGUAGCUGACUGAUACUAAUCGAUCGAGGACUUAACCA
rnacentral:rRNA from 2 species